GCGGCGCGCGGGGAUGGCGGGGGACGCGCGCGCCGGGUUUCCAGAGGUCGCCGGGGCCGACUCGAGGGCGGCGCGGCCGAUGGGGAAUGACGGCGGCGCGCGGAUACAGAGAUCACCCAGGCUCGGCCUGGGUGACUGCAGGUGGUGGCAGCAUGCUUGGGUGGCGCCGGCGCCGUGCGCAGGCGGUGGGAACGGCCGGUGACGGCGCCGGAGGGUGGAUCUCG
rnacentral:lncRNA from 1 species